AGGACGAACGCUGGCGGCGUGCCUAAUACAUGCAAGUCGAACGGUCUUUCUAUGGAAGCUUGCUUCCACUGAGAAGAUAGUGGCGAACGGGUGAGUAACACGUGGGUAACCUGCCCAUAAGAGGGGGAGUAACAUCCGGAAACGGGUGCUAAUACCGCAUAGUUUUCUUGAUCGCAUGAUCGGGAAAGGAAAGACGGCCUUUGUGCUGUCGCUUAUGGAUGGACCCGCGGCGUAUUAGUUAGUUGGUGAGGUAACGGCUCACCAAGACGAUGAUACGUAGCCGACCUGAGAGGGUGAUCGGCCACAUUGGGACUGAGACACGGCCCAAACUCCUACGGGAGGCAGCAGUAGGGAAUCUUCCGCAAUGGACGAAAGUCUGACGGAGCAACGCCGCGUGAGUGAAGAAAAGGUUUUCGGAUCGUAAAACUCUGUUGUCAGAGAAGAACAAGUUGGAGAGUAACUGCUCCAGCCUUGACGGUAUCUGACCAGAAAGCCACGGCUAACUACGUGCCAGCCGCCGC
rnacentral:rRNA from 1 species